rnacentral:rRNA from 1 species
GAACACGGACCAAGGAGUCUAGCAUGCGCGCGAGUCAUUGGGAGUCGAUAGACCCAAAGGCGCAAUGAAAGUGAACAGCGUCGACGCUCGCGUCGACCGCAGGGAAGAUGACGGCGCGGCGCGCCCGUCCGUCCGCAUUCCCGAGGCGUUUCGAGAAAUGCCACCGUUGCGAUUAUCGAGACGCACUGAGAGCGCGCACGCUGGGACCCGAAAGAUGGUGAACUAUGCCUGGUCAGGUCGAAGUCAGGGGAAACCCUGAUGGAGGACCGAAGCGAUUCUGACGUGCAAAUCGAUCGUCCGAACUGGGUAUAGGGGCGAAAGACUAAUCGAACUAUCUAAUAGCUGGUUCCAUCCGAAGUUC